CGCGUAGGCGGUCUGAUAAGUCAGUUGUGAAAGCCCGGGGCUCAACCCCGGAAGUGCAAUUGAAACUGUCAGGCUUGAGUAUGGUAGAGGGAAGUGGAAUUCCCGGUGUAGCGGUGAAAUGCGUAGAUAUCAGGAGGAACACCGGUGGCGAAGGCGACUUCCUGGACCAAUACUGACGCUGAGGCGCGAAGGUGUGGGGAGCAAACAGGAUUAGAUACCCUGGUAGUCC
rnacentral:rRNA from 1 species